rnacentral:rRNA from 1 species
AGAGUUUGAUCCUGGCUCAGAUUGAACGCUGGCGGCAUGCUUUACACAUGCAAGUCGAACGGCACCUAUCUUCGGAUAGAAGCGAGUGGCGAACGGCUGAGUAACACGUGGAGAACCUGCCCCCUCCCCCGGGAUAGCCGCCCGAAAGGACGGGUAAUACCGGAUACCCCGGGGUGCCGCAUGGCGCCCCGGCUAAAGCCCCGACGGGAGGGGAUGGCUCCGCGGCCCAUCAGGUAGACGGCGGGGUGACGGCCCACCGUGCCGACAACGGGUAGCCGGGUUGAGAGACCGACCGGCCAGAUUGGGACUGAGACACGGCCCAGACUCCUACGGUGGGGAAUCUUGCGCAAUGGGGGGAACCCUGACGCAGCGACGCCGCGUGCGGGACGGAGGCCUUCGGGUCGUAAACCGCUUUCAGCAGGGAAGAGUCAAGACUGUACCUGCAGAAGAAGCCCCGGCUAACUACGUGCCAGCAGCCGCGGUAAUACGUAGGGGGCGAGCGUUGUCCGGAAUGAUUGGGCGUAAAGGGCGCGUAGGCGGCCUGCUAAGUCUGAAGUGAAAGUCCUGCUUUCAAGGUGGGAAGUGCUUUGGAUACUGGUGGGCUGGAGUGCAGGAGAGGAAAGCGGAAUUACCGGUGUAGCGGUGAAAUGCGUAGAGAUCGGUAGGAACACCAGUGGCGAAGGCGGCUUUCUGGACUGAAACUGACGCUGAGGCGCGAAAGCGUGGGGAGCAAACAGGAUUAGAUACCCUGGUAGUCCACGCUGUAAACGAUGAAUACUAGGUGUGCGGGGACUGACCCCCUGCGUGCCGCAGCUAACACAAUAAGUAUUCCACCUGGGGAGUACGAUCGCAAGGUUGAAACUCAAAGGAAUUGACGGGGGCCCGCACAAGCGGUGGAUUAUGUGGUUUAAUUCGAAGCAACGCGAAGAACCUUACCAGGGUUUGACAUCCUGCUAACGAAGUAGAGAUACAUUAGGUGCCCUUCGGGGAAAGCAGAGACAGGUGGUGCAUGGUUGUCGUCAGCUCGUGUCGUGAGAUGUUGGGUU